rnacentral:lncRNA from 1 species
UUUUAGAGGGAAUGCUUUCAAUUUUUCUCCAUUUAGAAUGAUGUUGACCUUGGGCUUAGUAUGCAUAGCUUUUACAAUGUUGAGAUAUGUUCGUAUUAUCCCUAGUUUUUCUAGUGUUUUGAACAUGAAGGGAUGCUGUAUUUUGUCAAAUUCUUUUUCUGUAUCUAUUGAGAUAAUCAUGUGAUUCUUGUCUUUAAUCUACUGAUGUGGUGAAUUACUGAUAGGUUGAAUUUCAGUGAAUUGAUUUUUAGCAAAUUAGUCUGCUUUCAGAGUUCAGUGACUAGUAAACUAUAAUUUUUGCUUUAAUUUGUAUUCAGUAAAAUGGCAGAAUAAGAGGUCCCCUGCUCAAAUACCCCCAUAGGAACAUUAAUUUAUAACCAUCCUUGGACAAAUGUGCCAUUGUGUUCUGGUGGCACUAUGGAGGAGUCUAUUAAUUUGUAGAAGAGCCCAAGACCAAGGAAUGUUGUUUGUGAGGGCAGGUCACACAUAGGUGGGAAAUUUGUGGCUGGGUCUCACCUACAGACCUGAAAAUGGCUUUGUCUCCUUGUGGACUCAGCUGCAAGUCUCAUUGUGCCACCAGAAGUCUCCAUCAAGAGACUUGAGGUGAGUCAUGCCCACCUGUAUCUUGAGUGACUGAUACCCUGACCUCAGGCCUAGUUAUGGACCAUGAAGCAUCCCUGUAAGUUAGGUAGAUAUCCUCUUAGCUAAAGUCUGUGAGUGUAUUCUGUGAGUGGAUCCAUACAUCUAGGAAUUUACCAGGAGACAUACACAUCUGUGUCACCAGAACAGGCCUUCAGAUCUUGGUCUUAGCUGUGUAACAUGAAGCAACCCUGUGACUUUUCAAGUAAAUCUCAUUCCAAGUCCAGGGCCAGGCCUAUUUCUUUAACACCACACCCAGUGACACUAAGAUCUCUCCCUGGGAACCAAUGGAAGCCACACUUAUUUAUGUACCUGAAAACAAGCCUUCUGUCUACAGUUUCAACUGGGAAAACUCAGGUGGACUCUUAUCCCAGCAUAGACAAGGUCAAAAAAGGAAUCCAGUCCACCCAAGACCAAACAAAAUCCAUGAUGCUGACUGAAGUGGCUAGUAAAUGGGCUGCCAAUUGUGAAACCUACUUUAAACUUAGUUGUAGCCAUAUGACCCAGCUCCAACACCACUUGAUUGAAACUGGAGAUAAUCCCAUUAGCCAAAAGAAAAAAAAAGUGAAAAAUACUGAAAAAAAAAAACAUAAGGGAAUUUAGGACACCAUCAGGAGUAUGAAUAUGUGAACUAUUGGGAGUUUCACAAGGAAAGAGAGAGGCAAGAAGCUUAUUAAAAGAACUAAUGGCAGAAAAUUUCUCAAACCUUGGGAAUGGUAUGUACAU